rnacentral:rRNA from 1 species
GACGAACGCUGGCGGCGUGCUUAACACAUGCAAGUCGAACGGUAAGGCCCUUCGGGGUACACGAGUGGCGAACGGGUGAGUAACACGUGGGUGAUCUGCCCUGCACUUUGGGAUAAGCCUGGGAAACUGGGUCUAAUACCGGAUAGGACCACGCGCUUCCUGGUGUGUGGUGGAAAGCUUUUGCGGUGUGGGAUGGGCCCGCGGCCUAUCAGCUUGUUGGUGGGGUAAUGGCCUACCAAGGCGACGACGGGUAGCCGGCCUGAGAGGGUGUCCGGCCACACUGGGACUGAGAUACGGCCCAGACUCCUACGGGAGGCAGCAGUGGGGAAUAUUGCACAAUGGGCGCAAGCCUGAUGCAGCGACGCCGCGUGAGGGAUGACGGCCUUCGGGUUGUAAACCUCUUUCAGCAGGGACGAAGCGUAAGUGACGGUACCUGUAGAAGAAGCACCGGCCAACUACGUGCCAGCAGCCGCAGUAACAC